rnacentral:lncRNA from 1 species
ACAAUCCUCUGAAAACGAACAACACAGUUGCAUACUACAAAAUAUCAAAAAGCAGAUUGCUUCAUAGCUAAAACGGUGGGGCUUUAGAUUUACUCCUCGUCAUCACCGUCUGCAUCACCACCACCAGAGGCUUUCUUGGAGGCAGACUUCUCGUUCCUUCUCUUCACUCUUCCUGGACGGCCACCACCGAAGGGACUGGUCAGAGCAAAGUCGAUGUGCUUCUGUGAAUCAAGUCUCACCAUGAAUGAUGGAAUGUUCACCAAUUGCUUUCCAACCCUACAGCAACACCACCCAAACAAAGAUAAGUAACCAAUAUUUAGAGCCAGAUCAAAACAUUCUUCAGGGGUUUCAACAUUGAGCCACUAACGAGAUACAUAAGGUGUCAAUACAAGAAAGGGUGAAAUCAUUCAAAUGACAAGUGUGAGAACAAAUACAGUGUUUGAAGAUGUGUAACACAAAGGGUGAAAUCAUUCAAAUGAAAAUAGAAAAAAUGUUAGUUUCAAUUCGGAUCCAUCCAUUUGAUAUCAUAAAGAUAAAACUCAUACUCAUGCACAAAUGAAUCACAGAGAUGCACUACCUGAUAUGCCUCUGCCUGAUGAGGACACGAGAGUGAUGGAUAGACUUAGCCAUACCAGACUUGAACACAAUAGUCUGAAGACGACGUUCAAGAAAGUUCUCAACAGUCAAAGCCAAGACGUAAUCGAGCUUGUUCUGACUCUCAUCAAGAAGCCCGUAACG